GAUGAACGCUGGCGGCGUGCCUAAUACAUGCAAGUCGAGCGAAUGGAUUAAGAGCUUGCUCUUAUGAAGUUAGCGGCGGACGGGUGAGUAACACGUGGGUAACCUGCCCAUAAGGCUGGGAUAACUCCGGGAAACCGUGGCUAAUACCGGAUAACAUUUAGAACCGCAUGGUUCUAAAUUGAAAGGCGGCUUCGGCUGUCACUUAUGGAUGGACCCGCGUCGCAUUAGCUAGUUGGUGAGGUAACGGCUCACCAAGGCAACGAUGCGUAGCCGACCUGAGAGGGUGAUCGGCCACACUGGGACUGAGACACGGCCCAGACUCCUACGGGAGGCAGCAGUAGGGAAUCUGCCGCAAUGGACGAAAGUCUGACGGAGCAACGCCGCGUGAGUGAUGAAGGCUUUCGGGUCGUAAAACUCUGUUGUUAGGGAAGAACAAGUGCUAGUUGAAUAAGCUGGCACCUUGACGGUACCUAACCAGAAAGCCACGGCUAACUACGUGCCAGCCGCCGCAGUAA
rnacentral:rRNA from 1 species